GCUUUCAUUUCUUCCUCUUCCACCUUCUGCCUCUCUCUCUCUGGCGAUAAGCAAUUCUAAAACGAAAAAAUCUCUGUCUCUCAUCAUAAUCACCUUUCUUCUUCAUCUUCGUCAUCUACAGCUCUUCUCUCUGUGAAACAUGGUGUAGAGAUCGACCUUUUAGAUGUCCAAACCCUAAUCUCGAGUUUUAGAUGGGUAAUGUCUUCUUCUUUUCUUUGUCUUAUCCUAUGUCUCUCUUUUUGAGAUCUUGCCAUACAAUAAGCUAUUGGUACUCUGAUCCUUAACUGAAAUUUUCAAUCCCGGAGGAUUUCGGUUAUGCUGAGAGGUGAAGCCGAGGAAGGCGACAUAGAAGAAGAAACUAAAAGGUGGAUUCAUCGGCAAAGUCGGAGCACCAAAGAAUCUUAUCGACAGAUGCGUCGGAGCACCCGCAAUGAUGAAGCUCUUCUUGGUGGUACGGGUGAGGUUAGGGUCUCUCAUUCUCUUUUCAUUCGAUCUCCCCUCGCUCUCUCACUCUCUCGUCGUCCCUCUCACCGUCUUUCUCACACAUUUUUGCUCUCCCUCUCAAUCUUUGAAUCUGGCUUAGUUUCGUCAGAAAUCGAGAAGAAUCUUGUUGAAUUGCUACUGCCGUUGAGAUUUUUGUGUUUCAGGAACUUCCCUACAGCGUGGAAGGUUUCUCAGUCUUUUCGAGCGGCUUCGACAAUCUUAUUCUCAAAUGGAGAAUUGAUUAGGGUUCUUCCUCCUCCUCGUUUCUCAAGGUUUAAAUUUCUAAAAAUUGUCAGAAUUGAUUAUACUACAAUACCAUCAAGGCUUUUGACUGGUCUUGCGUUUUGGAUCUGAGUUUGGAAUUUCGUAUUAAGUCCCUGCUCUUUAUUGAGUUCUGAUUUCGUUGCAAAUUGGCUUAUACCCUAUUUGUAGCUGCUUUGUUGUGAGUGAUUUGUUUGCUAAUAGAUUAUUUUGAACUUGACUUCUCUUAGCUUCCGACUAAAAAUGGAUUCUUUCUGGCAGAAGGAGAUUCAGGUAGUGUUAAGAUUGAUGAAAUUCUCAGAUUUGUGAUUUUUGAAAAUUGAGUUACUUUUGCAGGGUUUAGAGACAUCACCUCGACAAGUAAAGAAACGUCCUCACAAACAAGAACUUCUUUAAGAACAAGAUAACAAGGAGCCAAUAGAAAGAAGAACCGCCAUUAGACUGACAAGGUCGUCAGCACUUACAAGAGGAAUUUGAGUCUUCAACAGAGAAUAUCAUCAAGGUAGUAGGACAAUUGGCACCAAUUACAAGUGAAAGUGGACCAAACAGCAGUGUUAGUUUCACAACCACACUUUGAUUGUUUUAAAAAUUGUUUUUGCAUCGUGUUCCCCUUCUGCCUCAUCCACACACCGUUCUAUCUCUCUCUCUCCGGGAUUGGAAGCAAGUUACGGAGUCUGCCGCCGUUUCAUUUAAUGAGCCACGAUGACAACACAACCUUCAAGGAGACCAAGCUAUGGGGCGUAAGAUUCGAAGAGAGUGUCACUGAGUAGGUGGAGAUUGAAAAUCAUUUGUUGUUCAGUUUGCUAUAUCAUUUUAUGUAAAUUUAGAUUAUUAAUGCUUCUUUCACUUUGGAGAUGAACUCGUUCUGAUUUUUGCUUUGUCUUUGCUCAAGUUAUGUGAAUUGUGUUAGUUUUUGUGAUGAUGUUUCUUGAGCUGAAGUUUCAUGGUUGUUGUUGAGAGACUACAAAUAUACAAUACCUGCAGGACCUUGACAAUUUCACUGAAA